GAUGAACGCUGGCGGCGUGCCUAAUACAUGCAAGUCGAGCGAACAGACGAGGAGCUUGCUCCUCUGACGUUAGCGGCGGACGGGUGAGUAACACGUGGAUAACCUACCUAUAAGACUGGGAUAACUUCGGGAAACCGGCGCUAAUACCGGAUAAUAUCUUGAACCGCAUGGUUGAAUAGUGAAAGACGGUUUUGCUGUCACUUCUAGAUGGUUCCGCGCCGCUUUAGCUAGUUGGUAAGGUAACGGCUUACCAAGGCGACGAUGCGUAGCCGACCUGAGAGAGUGGUCGGCCACACUGGAACUGAGACGCGGUCCAGACGCCUACGGGAGGCAGCAGUAGGGAAUCUUCCGCAAUAGGCGAAAGCCUGACGGAGCAACGCCGCGUGAGUGAUGAAGGUCUUCGGAUCGUAAAACUCUGUUAUUAGGGAAGAACAAAUGUGUAAGUAACUAUGCACGUCUUGACGGUACCUAAUCAGAAAGCCACGGCUAACUACGUG
rnacentral:rRNA from 1 species